UUCCGGUUGAUCCUGCCGGACCCGACUGCUAUUUGGGUGAGAAUAAGCCAUGCGAGUUGAAUGGAAUACCUAAAUUUUCCAUAGCAAACUGCUCAGUAACACAUGAUCAACUUACCCUAUAGAGAAAAAUAACCUCGGGAAACUGAGGAUAAUGCUUCAUAGUUGAAAAGGCUUGGAAAAGUUUUUCAAUUAAAGGGAUAAAAAAAAUGGUUUUUAUCUGCUAUAGGAUAGGAUCGUGCUCGAUUAUGGUUGUUGGUGAGGUAAUGGCUCACCAAGCCGAUAAUCGAUAGGGGCCGUGAGAGCGGGAGCCCCGAGAUGGGUACUGAGACAACGACCCAGGCCUUACGAGGCGCAGCAGGCGCGGAACCUCCGCAAUACACGAAAGUGUGACGGGGUUACCCAAAGUGUUCAAUUUUGAACUGUGGUAGGUGAGUAAUGUUCCCUACUAGAAAGGAGAGGGCAAGGCUGGUGCCAGCCGCCGCGGUAAAACCAGCUCUUCAAGUGGUCGGGAUAAUUAUUGGGCUUAAAGUGUCCGUAGCCGGUUUAGUAAGUUCCUGGUAAAAUCGGGUAGCUUAACUAUCUGCAUGCUAGGAAUACUGCUAUACUAGAGGGCGGGAGAGGUCUGAGGUACUACGGGGUAGGGGUGAAAUCUUAUAAUCCUUGUAGGACCACCAGUGGCGAAGGCGUCAGACUGGAACGUGCCUGACGGUGAGGGACGAAAGCCAGGGGAGCGAACCGGAUUAGAUACCCGGGUAGUCCUGGCCGUAAACGAUGCAUACUAGGUGAUGGCAUGGCCAUGAGCCGUGUCAGUGCCGUAGGGAAACCGUUAAGUGUGCCGCCUGGGAAGUACGGUCGCAAGGCUAAAACUUAAAGGAAUUGGCGGGGGAGCACCACAAGGGGUGAAGCCUGCGGUUCAAUUGGAUUCAACGCCGGA
rnacentral:rRNA from 1 species